GAAGCGGGGGACAACAUUUGGAAACAGAUGCUAAUACCGCAUAACAGCGUUGUUCGCAUGAACAACGCUUAAAAGAUGGCUUCUCGCUAUCACUUCUGGAUGGACCUGCGGUGCAUUAGCUUGUUGGUGGGGUAAUGGCCUACCAAGGCGAUGAUGCAUAGCCGAGUUGAGAGACUGAUCGGCCACAAUGGGACUGAGACACGGCCCAUACUCCUACGGGAGGCAGCAGUAGGGAAUCUUCCACAAUGGGCGCAAGCCUGAUGGAGCAACACCGCGUGAGUGAAGAAGGGUUUUUGCUCGUAAAGCUCUGUUGUUAAAGAAGAACACGUAUGAGAGUAACUGUUCAUACGUUGACGGUAUUUAACCAGAAAGUCACGGCUAACUACGUGCCAGCAGCCGCGGUAGUACGUAGGUGGCAAGCGUUAUCCGGAUUUAUUGGGCGUAAAGAGAGUGCAGGCGGUUUUCUAAGUCUGAUGUGAAAGCCUUCGGCUUAACCGGAGAAGUGCAUCGGAAACUGGAUAACUUGAGUGCAGAAGAGGGUAGUGGAACUCCAUGUGUAGCGGUGGAAUGCGUAGAUAUAUGGAAGAACACCAGUGGCGAAGGCGGCUACCUGGUCUGCAACUGACGC
rnacentral:rRNA from 1 species